rnacentral:rRNA from 1 species
UGCGGUUAUACAAAAAUUAAAUUGAAUUUUUUUAGGAUUUAAUAAUUAAAUAUUUAGUUGAUAAUUUAAAUUGUAAGUUAUGAGGUGAAAUUUUAACUUAAAUAAAUUUUAUUUUUUUUUAUGAUAUUAAUAAAUUUUAUAAAAAACUAGGAUUAGAUACCCUAUUAUAAAAAUUUAAAUUUAAUAAUCUUAAAAUAGUAUAUAAUUUUUUAUAGAAACUUAAAUAAUUUGGCGGUAUUUUAGUUCAUUUAGAGGAAUCUGUCUAAUAAUUGAUAAUCCACGAUUAAAUUUACUUGACUUAUAAUUUUGUAUAUCGUUGUUAAAAAAAUAUUUUUUAAUAAUUAUAAUAUUUUAAAAUUUAAAUAUAAAUUUAAAUCAGAUCAAGAUGCAGAUUAUAGUUAAGAAUAUGAUGGAUUACAAUAAGUUUUAUUUUUGGAUAUUAAUUUGAAUUAAGUUAAUUGAAAUUGGAUUUAAAUGUAAUUUUAUUUAUUUAAUUAAAAUGAUUAAUAAUUAAAAUAUGUACAUAUUGCCCGUCGCUUUCAUUUAUAAGUUGAAAUAAGUCGUAACAAAGUAGAGGUACUGGAAAGUGUUUCUAGAAAGAU